rnacentral:rRNA from 1 species
CUUUCUCCGCCGGCGACCGGCGCAACGGGUGAGUAACACGUAUGCAACCUGCCCCUGUCAGGGGGACAACCCGCCGAAAGGCGGGCUAAACCCGCGUACAUGCCACCGGGGCAUCCCGGAGGCAGGAAAGGCUUCGGCCGGACAGGGAUGGGCAUGCGGCGCAUUAGGCAGUAGGCGGGGUAACGGCCCACCUAACCGACGAUGCGUAGGGGUUCUGAGAGGAAGGUCCCCCACACUGGUACUGAGACACGGACCAGACUCCUACGGGAGGCAGCAG